GAGUUUGAUCGUGGCUCAGGACGAACGCUGGCGGCGUGCUUAACACAUGCAAGUCGAGCGGUAAGGCCCUUCGGGGUACACGAGCGGCGAACGGGUGAGUAACACGUGGGUGACCUGCCCUCAGCUCUGGGAUAAGCCCGGGAAACUGGGUCUAAUACCGGAUAUGACCUCUCAUCGCAUGAUGGGUGGUGGAAAGUUUUUCGGCUGGGGAUGGGCCCGCGGCCUAUCAGCUUGUUGGUGGGGUGAUGGCCUACCAAGGCGACGACGGGUAGCCGGCCUGAGAGGGCGACCGGCCACACUGGGACUGAGACACGGCCCAGACUCCUACGGGAGGCAGCAGUGGGGAAUAUUGCGCAAUGGGCGGAAGCCUGACGCAGCGACGCCGCGUGGGGGAUGACGGCCUCGGUUGUAAGUAC
rnacentral:rRNA from 1 species